AAAGAAACGUAAAAGAAAUAUAGAGGAAAAGAGAUAUAGAGCCCAGCCCGGCCGCAACCACCCGCCCCGAGCGCCGAGGAGCAAAUGGCACCGCCGGGUCCCGCCGCGGUUUAAAUCCCCUCAGCCCCGCCCCGCGCAGGCGCUCUGGGGCCCCGCGCACCUGUGCGGCCCCGCCCCUCACACCUGUGCGGCCCCGCCCCUCACACCUGUGCCGGGCCGGCCCCGCCCAUAAAUCCCGGCGGAUCCGCGCCCGCUCCGCUCCAUGCGGGAAUGAUCGGCCCGGGGCGCGGCGGGAGCGCCGCUCGGAGCGCUGCGCGGAGCUCGGGGCGCUGAGAGCACAGGAGGUUCCGAGUUGGAAAGGGCCACGAGGAUCAUCGAGUCAAAUGUGGGGACUGAGUUCAGAAUCUUCCGAGGAUCAUCGAGUCAAACGUGGGGACUGAGUUCAGAAUCUUGGCCUUAUCAGCACCCUGCUCCAGCCUGGUAUUAUUUAAGGUUGCAUUUCUGGAUUUGUUUCAUUGGAUUCUGGGAAUUUUUUUUUUGGGGGGGGGAUGAAGUAUUUUUUCUUUAAAGCAUGACUUGAAAUAAAAAAAACCUUUUUCCCAUUCUGACAAAAGUUAUCUUUAAAAGUAGCUAAAAGGGUCUCAGUUCCGUAGAGGUUUACAACAGAACAGCAAUUUUGAACGUUGCUAACAAUAAACGUGUCUAGGUGGUCUAGCCACAA